rnacentral:rRNA from 1 species
UGUUAGACCUCGGAUCAGGUAGGAAUACCCGCUUGAACUAAUGGGUUUAAAUUAUGGG